GAUGAACGCUGGCGGCGUGCCUAACACAUGCAAGUCGAGCGAAGCGGGGACGGGUGAGUAACACGUGGAUAACCUCCCAUAAGACUGGGAAAAAUUCGGGAAAACGGAGCUAAACCGGCUAAUUAACGCUGGAUCCAUGCUGCAUUAGCUAGUGGGUAAGGUAACGGCUAACCAAGGCCACGAUGCAUAGCCGACCUGAGAGGGUGAUCAGCCACACUGGAACUGAGAAACGGUCCAGACUCCUACGGGAGGCAGCAGUAGGGAAUCUUCCGCAAUGGGCGAAAGCCUGACGGAGCAACGCCGCGUGAGUGAUGAAGGUCUUCGGAUCGUAAAGCUCUGUUAUUAGGGAAGCGGUACCUAAUCAGAAAGCCCCGGCUAACUACGUGCCAGCAGCCGCGGUAAUUC
rnacentral:rRNA from 1 species